GCCAGUGUGGUAUAAUGGUCUGAGCAUUGCACUACAACUCUGGAGACCAGGGAUCAAUUCCUUGCUUUGCCA